AUUGAACGCUGGCGGCAUGCCUUACACAUGCAAGUCGAACGGUAACGGGCCUUUGGGUGCCGACGAGUGGCGAACGGGUGAGUAAUGUAUCGGAACGUACCUUUCAGUGGGGGAUAACGUAGCGAAAGUUACGCUAAUACCGCAUAUUCUGUGAGCAGGAAAGCAGGGGAUCGCAAGACCUUGUGCUGAUUGAGCGGCCGAUAUCAGAUUAGCUAGUUGGUGAGGUAAAGGCUCACCAAGGCGACGAUCUGUAGCGGGUCUGAGAGGUAUGAUCCGCCACACUGGAACCGAGACACGAUCCAGACUCCUACGGGAGGCAGCAGUGGGGAAUUUUGGACAAUGGGGGCAACCCUGAUCCAGCCAUGCCGCGUGAGCGAAGAAGGCCUUCGGGUUGUAAAGCUCUUUCGGCCGGGAAGAAAUCGUAUCAGCUAAUACCUGGUGCGGAUGACGGUACCGGCAUAAGAAGCACCGGCUAACUACGUGCCAGCCGCCGCCGUAAGAC
rnacentral:rRNA from 1 species